rnacentral:rRNA from 1 species
GGGAAACUGCCUGAUGGAGGGGGAUAACUACUGGAAACGGUAGCUAAUACCGCAUAACGUCGCAAGACCAAAGAGGGGGACCUUCGGGCCUCUUGCCAUCAGAUGUGCCCAGAUGGGAUUAGCUAGUAGGUGGGGUAACGGCUCACCUAGGCGACGAUCCCUAGCUGGUCUGAGAGGAUGACCAGCCACACUGGAACUGAGGCACGGUCCAGACUCCUACGGGAGGCAGCAGUGGGGAAUAUUGCACAAUGGGCGCAAGCCUGAUGCAGCCAUGCCGCGUGUAUGAAGAAGGCCUUCGGGUUGUAAAGUACUUUCAGCGGGGAGGAAGGUGUUGAGGUUAAUAACCUCAGCAAUUGACGUUACCCGCAGAAGAAGCACCGGCUAACUCCGUGCCAGCAGCCGCGGUAAUACGGAGGGUGCAAGCGUUAAUCGGAAUUACUGGGCGUAAAGCGCACGCAGGCGGUCUGUCAAGUCGGAUGUGAAAUCCCCGGGCUCAACCUGGGAACUGCAUUCGAAACUGGCAGGCUAGAGUCUUGUAGAGGGGGGUAGAAUUCCAGGU